UAUGUGACACAAAUUCUGGGGCUGCACGAGUUAGACAUCAACAGGUUGACUACAUUUUGUUUCCCUUUCGUCAAACAAAACCUGAACUAAGACGAAUGCUUGCAAAGAAUCUCCCUGUAGAUCAUCUCCGGCUGAACCUUUGGGAAUGUGAGACUUCUUUAAAGGUAUGGGAGCCAAAAUGGCUUUAGGAGAGCUGAGUAGGUGCCCGUGUGUACACAAUAUGUGCAACAAAAGCAGGGGCUAAUCCACCUAAUUUACACAAUGCACAGGGCCCUGUUUACACGGGAGAUACCCUCAGAGGGCCCCUGUUUCGUUUUCCCUGCGUUUCAGACCGGAGAAGUGGACGAAUGAAAGACAAAGUGAGCGAUCAGUGGUGCCACACGGAAUAAAUCACACACGCGAUUUCAACAAACACAAAGCAUCGCUAUCUUUCACUUAUUUCACACGUUUACACCAGUUUCAUAAUGCUUCUUUUUUCUAAGAUAAAUCAUGAGAGCUCUGGAUUUUUUUCAGGCAUUUCUAUUAGAAAGUUUGGAAAAGUCUACACAGCGCAAUCUGCAACAAAUAAAGGCUUUUUGUUGCAAAUGAAUAAGACUGGACUAUUUAUGCACCAAAUUAUUUGUGUCCAGGCCUUGUUAGUAAACCUAGUUGAUGCUAAGUGAAACAACUCUCACACCCAAAUGAACAAAAGCAGAAUUAACCUAAAGGAAACCAAACAUAUAAGGUGCACCUUCAGGUUUUUACGCAUCCUCCAGCCAAGGAUGCUAUGAGUCAAACUGACCAGAUGACAAAAAGCAAGACGCACCAAUAACAAUAUAAUUUAUCUUUACAGCCAAUAUCAGUAAUCCUGUCUCCCUAUGUCAACGAUUUUCAAUAGUCUAGAACUACUGUCCUCAAUUAUUCUGCAUGUUUGCACCGUGUGUUCUACUAUACAAUAAAAAUACAUAUAUAAAAUCGUAAUGUGUUUAUGCUUUCUGUGUGGUCUUCGAGUAGGCAAAUUGUGCGUGGGCCUAUUUUAACAGAUUUUAUGACAUCCACUCACUACGCAGCGGCACUGGACUAAGAUUUACUGUAAUUAAAAAGGUUACAUAUCAAGAUGCAUAUCCUAUUUCAGAUGCAGAUUCCUUUUUGUUUUCCUUGAGUGCAUCCAAAACCUAUUCUCUUAUAUGUUAACGCCCACUAUGUACAGAAAGAUACCAAAGUGAAACAUUGUCUCAUUUCCCUUUUGGAGACAUCAUCUCAAAACUGUUCUUUCGAUACGCUGUUAAUUUGCGUGUAGGUCUAUUUAAAGUAAAAGGUUAAUAAGACAUUUAAAGGAGCAAAGACUAACGCUGAAUAGAGCGUUGUCUUAUUUUAUGUCUAUUCAGCUCAGCCACCUAUUGACUGUUUAGGCAAUACAUUAAGGCUUCUGGCAGCUGCGACGAUUUUUUUAAUUACUGUAUUGUCACCACAGUCCUAGAUUUCUUGUUUAUGCGACUUAGAGCCCUUUAUAUACUUCCCGUGGGUAGGUGCGCUUCACUGUUUCCAUAAUUGCAUUUUUCCAGAAGGGGUAAUUACUCUGGCACAUCCAGGUGAAUUCUUGCGCUAAAAUUGAAAUAUCCUGCUUUAAUCCUCCCUAAAUCCCAAUUCUCAGGACACGGGGAGGUGAGCAGCAGAGGAGUCAUGUGGAGCUCCGGUUGCUUCUUCAGGUGAGCGUCGCGUCCCAGGGGAGCGGAGGAUCUCCUCUCGCCGUCAUAAGCAUAAAACAAGAUUACUAGAUCUUUAUCACCGAGCACCCCCCAGAAACAGGAACAGACUGCAAGUUGUUUUGCGGGGGAUAUUUUAAACUUAAAAGAAAAAGUCAUAAAUACACUUCCCUGCAUGUUUUCCAGGGGGUUCAUGCCUUUAACACAACAGCAAGUGAGCUUGUUUAUGUAAAUGAAUCAGGAAAUGCAUUAGUAAAACUGUGCUUGAUAUCUUUGUUUCACAUGCUGUUUGAAGGAAAAGGGGCUCCUAACAUUUACCAGAUCUUAAAAAUAACACCCCUUUCUUCUUAUAAACAAUAUAUGUACUGUUCGCACUAGAUUCCAUAUUUUAAGUGUAGUCUGUCUUGCAGGAGUAAAUACCGGCAGAAGUUUGUACAUUCUUCUUGUCAUAGUGCUGCCUGAAUUUACCUUCACCACAUCUUUAAUUUGUAGUCACCAGGAAUAAAAGGCUGAAUCUCAGCUCUGGCAGCUCCCAUGUCAGUCUUUGCUGGAGCGGGUGACAGAGAACAGCAGAGGUAGAUAGCAUUCUCAAAUCGCAUCACUAGAGACCUCACAUCAAAGCAGACCAAACCUCAUAUUGAGUGAACUUUUAAGCCAGAAAGACUGUGUGACAUCAGAGCACCUAAAAUGUGACUGUCAUGUUUUUCAAACUUGGCUGAACACAGGCUCAAAGACUUAAGAAAUAUUCAAUGGCAAAGCUCUUUUCAAACACACUCACUAAGAUUAGCAGUCUUUGUCUUACAGGAACCUCAAAGACCAAUUAGACUGAGAGAUGGGUGUGGUGAAUUUGUCAAAAAUGAGAUGACAGAUAUCACUUUGGCAGUGAGCAAACAUAGCUGGGGAUUUCACUCAAGUGCAUCAUUGACAAGGCUCUGUCAGAAAAUGUGUCAUCUUCAGCAGACCUGCCAGUUGACAAGGAUGCAGCUUGGGAUUGAGACUGAUCAAUUCCCAAACUGCCAACAAGACAUGGCUCUGAUAGUGGCAGUUUAUUUUGUGAAGUAAAAAAGUACAAUUUCCUUGGAUAUAUUGUCAACUUUUUAUUUGGAUCACAGGCCUGCACCGUCCCAGGAUACAGAAGUAAGAGAAUGUGUGCAGCAAAUUUCAGAUAAAACAAACAGUGUCAUAUAUAUGUUGGCUCUCAAAGCAGAGUUUUGACCUUCCCACAUUCCUUUUUUGGACAUUCAGUGCACGUGUCUGGUUUUGUUGUUUAAUGUACACCAAUUCAAAAUGUUUAAUACUUGAGUUUGUCUUUGGCCACUAUUUCUAAAGUGAAAUCUGAUACUCAAAGCAUUUUCCUCUUCAAAGUUGUCUCCUGUUGUGCUUUGUGACCACAGUAGUGUCAAUCUCAUAUUUUCAAAGCCUCAUCUCUGUGUCAGCUUUGAGUAGCUGUCUAUAAAUGUCUCCAAAUGGAGUUAAUGCUUUGAUGGCUGCUCUGAAAACAGUUGGGAACAUUAUGACAAAAUCUAAAGUGGAAAAACAAUUUAUAUUGAUUUGGCUCCACAUGAAAUUUGACCUGUGAUUUUUAAAUUGCUGUCCUAAGCAGAAAUUGUGUUUGAUGUUAAAACAGCUCGGAAACAAGCUCAAAAGCGUUGUGGCAACUGCAAGGAAGGAAAUCCCAAUGAGCCGUAAAUGAUGCAUCACCAGAACUCUAGAACAUCUGUAAUGUGCUCGCAAAAUAUAGGCUAAUCUCUAAAUCCAACAUCUGGCCUCAAACUGCACAUCAGUUUAUCAUGUUUGUCAUCAACAUACUGAUUUGUGUAUAAAAGACCUGAGGAAAUUGCUUUAUUAUUGUUGAUAAUCAAAAAAUUGUUUAAGUCAGCAGAAAUAUUAAACAUUAGUGCCUGCCAUAUUUGAGAAUUUGUUGCUUUUCUUUGUCUAUAAGACUGAAAAUCAUAUGAAAUCAAAUUCAGGGGUGUUCUAGGGGCUUACACGUCUGACCUUUUCUUAAAUAAAUCAAAAGUGACCUCUCAACAUCAGUUAAAAAGAUUAUAGGCUAUUGUUGUCAGUAUGAACAUGCAAAAAUAACCCUAGCCAAUGCAUCACAUUGCACUAAAGUCGAAGACGUUUCCUGUUUAUUUGCCCUUGCCCUGCCAUCAAACACUCUGGUAUCAUGAAGUGAUUGUGUAGCCUACAGGACUCUGAACGCUUCAAGAACACGGGUGACCCACACUCACUAUGGUCCAUGAACGCCUCCAGUGUGAGCAUGCGGAGGCGAUGCUCACCUGACCGUCAGGUGGAUGGCACCUCACGCUCUAUUUGAAAAUAUGCUAUUUCAGAGUGAUUAAAGAGGAUGUGUUGGUACCACAGAGAUGGAUUCUUGUCACUGUGUGAGUUGCAUCAGGAUGAUGAGCAACGGGAGGAGAAUAAAUUACCACCACACUUAGGAGAGGGAGGCAUCCACAUUAUAUCAAGAUUGAGAAAAGAAAUGUUAGAAGUCACCCGCAGUCUCCAUGACAGCGAGAGCCGGAGGUGGGCGUUGAACAAUUCAGAAGGGACCAGCCCACGCACUGUGACCCUGAUCAGUGGAACCACUGGAACUAAGCUAUUUGGCUCCAUUGCCCUGGACUGCAAGCCAAGCUCUGGGAUGCCAGCUUCUUUGCUCAAGGCUACAGCCUUUCCCAAAGGUGUAUUACAGUAAGUCUUGGGAUGCUUUAUUAAAGAAUACAGUCUACACACAUUUAUAGCCUCUUGCAUGGUAUUUGGUCUGGAAUACAGAAGCCAGUGGGCAGAUUGUGUGG